rnacentral:rRNA from 1 species
UACGUAGGCAGCGAGCGUUGUUCGGAGUUACUGGGCGUAAAGAGUGCGUAGGCGGUUUUCUAAGUUUGGUGUGAAGUCUCCCGGCUCAACUGGGAGGGUGCGCCGAAGACUGGAAGGCUUGAGUAUGGGAGAGGUAAGCGGAAUUCCUGGUGUAGCGGUGAAAUGCGUAGAUAUCAGGAGGAACACCUGCGGUGUAGACGGCUUACUGGACCAUAACUGACGCUGAGGCACGAAAGCGUGGGUAGCAAACAGG